CAGAAUCCCGAAGUAGAGUUCUUAAUCCGCACCCAACCGGACCUGCUCCAGUCAGAGCAGCGCAGAGCUCUUGAGGAAAAUUCGGAAAAGCCUUGUGAAAAUUGGUCCAUUAAUUAAUAGAUAAUCAAAGCGUUCAGCUCUGGCCUAAAGUUCGGGGCGUGGACUCCAUUCAUCCAUCCAGUCCAUCAGUCAUGUCCUUGUUGCAGUUGUAAGUGCAGGAAAAGCGGAAAAGCGGACUACCAUGGACACCAGCAACAGCAGAUCCUGGCUGCUCUACGGCAUCCUGGGGCUCCUGGCGAUUGCCGCAGCUAGCUAACAAAUUUUUACAGCAAUGAUUUGAUUUUUUUCUUAAAUUUAACAAACUUGCGCUGGCAGCGCCGCCUUAACAAGUUCUCCAAGCUCUCAUUUUGGCCAACAACCAACCACCACCACCACCACCGCCACUGCCACUGCCACCGCCAGCCUCAUGCCGCGGACCGCUGCUCCCUUAUUGUACAUCUCAGCCUCUCAACACCACAACCCCACAACCAACCAAGAACCAGAACCAGAACCACCAGAAACAACAGCCAGAGACCAGAAACAACAGAAACCAGAAAAAAGAAUAACAGAAACCGCCACACGAACCAUCGAACGCCUGAGAAUGCCUGAGAAUAGAUCCCCGACAAAAUGAAUACAAAUGAGACUUGGAGAAACUGCCAAAGCGACGCUGCUGCAGCGCUGCCUACGAAAAAAAAAAAAAAUACGAGAAAAUUAUAAACAAACUCACAAAACUGCGCUAGUCAUUAACUAACUCUAUAUCAAACUAUAUAGUAUAUAUAUAUUCCAUAUAAUCUAUCGUAGAACUCUCCUUAGUAGCACACCCACCACCACCACCCGCACAAGAAAGCAGUUGAGUGCUGCCCCUUAAGAAUAGAUCUUCUUCUAUAGAACUGCAUAUCUCUGCUCUCUGCUCUCUCUGUCUUUGUCUCUCCUGCUCUUGCUCGUGCUCUUGCUCUCCCUCUCUCUCUCUCUCUCUCCGUAUAAUGCUCGACAACUGUAAACUUCUGUACCCUACUAUAUAUAGCCAAGACUAUAAAAAACUAUUCACUUUCAGUACACCUAUAUAUCCGUACUCCCUCUGCCUCUCUCUCUCUCUGUCUCUCUCUGCCUCUCUCUCUCUCUCUGUCUGUCUCUGUCUAUAUAUAAGUAUAUCCUCCUUAGCUAUUUCUGCCUUUUGUAAUUAUACAUUUCUCCAAGCCCAUCCAUCUAAGUCCCCCCUUAUUCCCACCCCCCUGACUAUUCCCCGUAUUAAGGGCUACCACAAGGUCCUUGAGGGACACAGCCACAGCCGCAGGAUGAAAUCGCAACUGAAAUGAACAACAACCAAAAAAAGAUCAACCACAAAACAAAAACUUAACCGAUAUUAACCAAGAAAAAAUUACUGAUUUCAGUCAAUGAAAUGCAUAUAUACAACAAACAAUAUAUAUACUAUCUAUAUAUGUAUAUAUAUAUAUAUAUAUAUGAAGAUUUCUGUAUCAACUGCCGAAUCUUAAUUCAUACUCCUUCUCUUCUGAGCAGUCCAAGAAAAAAGAUAUACUACUCGUUAGGCUAAAAAAAGAAGUAGAACUCGCAAUAGAACCCUGAAAACGAGGCGUACUUUUAGUGUCUAGAGCUCUCUUUUUGGUAUAUAAUGAAUAUAGUACAUACACACACACAAACACCCACUCAACACACACAUACACUCAACACACCCACAUAAAAUCAUAUACAUAGUAUCGGUAUGAACAUCCAGCCACCCCCAUCAGACCGCCCUACCCCCCCACCCAUUCACCUAGCCGUAAAGUGCAACUCCAGAAAGGAGUUUCAACAACAACAGCAAGAAAAAAAAAACAACUCCACUCACUCACACGGCAGUAGGCACACGUGUGGUCCACAUAUAUACACGCACACAGAUAGGCGGCAAGGAUAACCCGGUCACACACACAGGCAGGCGAGAGUGUGAGAGCCAGCCAGCAGCCAGCAUCCCAAAAAGAGCUUUCCGCUCUUUCUCUCUCUCCCACGCCACGUGAAGGACACAAAGCUUUCGGAUAAAGUUUGAGGAUAAACUUUACUCAGCUGUCGGCGAAGGAAAACAACGGAUUACCGGAAUAUAGACGUCUCUUUCGCACUUUAGUUAGAAAGGGAAUCCCCUGCUAGGUCCUUAGGAUCUCUAAAGUCUCUAAAGGGGGGCGGGCACCCAAGUAUAAGUGUUGCACAUCGUUAAGCACCUUGUUGAUAUCGUUAUCGUUAUCGCUAGCUGUGUUAUCGUGUUAUCGUAGUACAAUUUAGGACUCUAGGACUGUAAGAACCACCAAAAGCGAGAGGCAUUUGCAUUAAAGCAGCCACUAUGUGGGGGUGGACACCCUCGCAUAGUUCUUGUUUAAUGGAAGUGCCUUCGAAUGCGGCGUAUAUGCAACGUAGGCCAAGAACCAUCACAA
rnacentral:misc_RNA from 1 species